rnacentral:rRNA from 1 species
UCCUACGGGAGGCAGCAGUGGGGAAUAUUGCACAAUGGGCGAAAGCCUGAUGCAGCAACGCCGCGUGAGUGAUGAAGGCCUUCGGGUUGUAAAGCUCUGUCUUUGGGGACGAUAAUGACGGUACCCAAGGAGGAAGCCACGGCUAACUACGUGCCAGCAGCCGCGGUAAUACGUAGGUGGCGAGCGUUGUCCGGAUUUACUGGGCGUAAAGGAUGCGUAGGUGGAUAUUUAAGUCAGAUGUGAAAUACCCGAGCUUAACUUGGGUGCUGCAUUUGAAACUGGAUAUCUAGAGUGCAGGAGAGGUAAGUGGAAUUCCUAGUGUAGCGGUGAAAUGCGUAGAGAUUAGGAAGAACACCAGUGGCGAAGGCGACUUACUGGACUGUAACUGACACUGAGGCAUGAAAGCGUGGGUAGCAAACAGGAUUAGAUACCCUGGUAGUCCACGCCGUAAACGAUGAGUACUAGGUGUAGGGGGGUCCAACCUUCUGUGCCGCAGUUAACACAAUAAGUACUCCGCCUGGGAAGUACGAUCGCAAGAUUAAAACUCAAAGGAAUUGACGGGGGCCCGCACAAGCAGCGGAGCAUGUGGUUUAAUUCGAAGCAACGCGAAGAACCUUACCUGGACUUGACAUCCCCUGAAUAGUGCAGAGAUGCAUGAAGCCCUUCGGGGCAGGGAGACAGGUGGUGCAUGGUUGUCGUCAGCUCGUGUCGUGAGAUGUUAGGUUAAGUCCUGCAACGAGCGCAACCCUUAUCAUUAGUUGCUACCAUUAAGUUGAGCACUCUAGUGAGACUGCCCGGGUUAACCGGGAGGAAGGUGGGGAUGACGUCAAAUCAUCAUGCCCCUUAUGUCCAGGGCUACACACGUGCUACAAUGGUAAGUACAGAGAGAUGCAAGACCGCGAGGUGGAGCCAAACUCAAAAACUUAUCCCAGUUCGGAUUGUAGGCUGCAACUCGCCUACAUGAAGCCGGAGUUGCUAGUAAUCGCGAAUCAGAAUGUCGCGGUGAAUACGUUCCCGGGCCUUGUACACACCG